UACAGGGGGUGCAAACGUUGCUCGGAAUUAUUGGGCGUAAAGCGCGCGUAGGCGGCUACUUAAGUCGGAUGUGAAAGCCCCUGGCUCAACUGGGGAAGUGCACCCGAAACUGAGUGGCUUGAGUGCGAAAGAGGGUCGCGGAAUUCCCGGUGUAGAGGUGAAAUUCGUAGAUAUCAGGAGGAACACCGGUGGUGUAGACGGCUCACUGGACCGUAACUGACGCUGAGACACGAAAGCGUGGGUAGC
rnacentral:rRNA from 1 species